ACCGCGGGGCCUGCUGGGAAGUGAGGGCCGGCUUUCGGUGUUCGCGCGAGACCGAACGUGUUCGGUGAGUUCCGUACGGGGCUCCGGGCGUCUGCGCUGCUGUCUCGGAGCGAGCGUGAUGGAGUCAAGGUGUGAGGUGAACCUGGACCGGUUUAGCCGACCUCCCCGAGUCCCGGUCUACCGUAGAUGCCUGCUCCGUGGCUGCUGCUACCCAGUGGUGACUCCUCCGUGAGUCAUUGAGGAUGAGGACGUUUGAGAAAGGAAUCUGUCACUCCACGGUUCCAAGGCCCAUGGACUCCUGUCUCAGUCUGGAUGGAGGAGGCCGGAGACUGCACCCAGCACUGCUUGGGAACUCACCGUCCAGAGGGCUCAGGUGAG